CAAUAGCGUAUAUUUAAGUUGUUGCAGUUAAAAAGCUCGUAGUUGGAUUUCGGGUGAACAUGACCGGUCCGCCGUAUCGGUGUGUACUGGUCGCGUUUAUCUUGUUGUCGGGUACGCGUUCCUGGCCUUAACUGGCUGGGACGUGGAGUCGGCGAAGUUACUUUGAAAAAUUAGAGUGUUCAAAGCAGGCCUACGCUCUGAAUACAUUAGCAUGGAAUAACGCGAUAGGACUCUGGUCUUAUUGUGUUGGUCUUCGAGACCGGAGUAAUGAUUAAGAGGGACAGUUGGGGGCAUUCGUAUUUCAUUGUCAGAGGUGAAAUUCUUGGAUUUAUGAAAGACGAACUUCUGCGAAAGCAUUUGCCAAGGAUGUUUUCAUUAAUCAAGAACGAAAGUUGGGGGCUCGAAGACGAU
rnacentral:rRNA from 1 species